ACAACAACAUUUGUACCGUCGGUCUACCGAGCAAUAUCACCCGUUCGGUUGAAGAUCUUCCCUUUGUCGUAUACA
rnacentral:pre_miRNA from 1 species